CAGAAAAUUUGAAUUCACCAUUCCGUCGCCAUCCCCUUGCCCUCCCUUACUGUCCUUGUGGCCAUCCCAUCACUGAACACCAUCACAAAUCCUUUCGUUGCCAAACAUCGAAACCAUCCCGUAGCACACUACCCUCAUCCACAAGUGCCUUCCAUCGUGGUGGCAGAGCUUCUACCCUCCUCUAGUGCCUUCUGUCGCCGAACAUUGGCUCCCUCUUCAUUGUUUCUUUAUUUAUGGUAACCUCCACCAGUUUCUUCCAUUCGAUGUGUUAUUUCUUCUCUCCACAUGUACAGGACCUUAAUAAUGUUAUAUUAAUGAAAGCCAUCAAACGUAAGUCGUCGCUUUGCAUAUAUUUUUAACACGGCAACAUAAGAACACAUAAAAAUUCUUGUUUGAAAAUUUCCUAUAUAGCCUAAGUCAAGAGUCUGAUUUAAUUGUAUUGCAGCUUUUUUCUCCCCUAAAAAUCAGAUUAGGGGGGAACCUUACAAGGCAAAGUCAUAUACAACACAUAAAGCAAUCCUCCACAAUGCAACUCAUUUGUAAAAAACAACUCUGAGUUGUUAGGGUUCCUAUAUGUGCCCAUGUUUUACAAAACACAUUCAUUCUUACAAAUCUGGUCAUAUCAAAAUAUUGGGAAACAUGCUGAAGGUUUCACAGUGGGAAUACCGAAUAUAUCUAUGAAUAUAUAUAUAUAUAUAUAUAUAUAUAUAUAUAUAUAAGUGGGUGUAUGCAUAGAGAACUUGUGAAUGGGAAAGAAGCUUCCCAAAAAGUCACCAUUGAGGUGGGCUUGUACAAUGAUCAUGUCAACGGCUCUAGCAGCCACAAAAACAACCUCAAAUUAUGUCUCCAAUGUUUCUGCUAGCUGCAGAAUUUGGUACCACAACUGACUGUAAUGAUAUUGAAAAUUUAAUCCAAAUGCAUAUUUAGUUUAGUUUUAUUAUGCAUAUUUUGUUCAACUAGAUUUUAUUUCAAGAUAUAAUUAUCUUUUCUCAGUUGAAUCUAUUUUCCUUUGUAGCCUUGAAAGAUGAGACAUCUAAGUCAUACAACUAAAGAGAAUAGUUAAAAGAAAAUUUGUGAAUGAUGAUUGGAUUGAUGAUAUAUUAGAAUUUUAGGUCUCGAACAGCAAUGUCAAUGACUUUCAUUGUUUCACCUUUUAUUCUCAACAUGUUAUUUCAUAUUCUCUGUUUUUUGCAUAAAAAUAGAAGCAAGACUUUUAUUUUUAGCAAGAAAAUAGCUCAAAACAAAGACCCCCUUAAAACCUAACCAAGACCCACAAACAUUACUCAGUGGAAGUUUUUCCUGCUAUAUAUAUAUAUACUCUUUGUAGUUUACACCCUACCAGAAGUAUUUAUCAAUUUUUAUUGAAUUAUUUUAUUUUAACUUGUUUUAUUUUGUUUAAUUUUUAUUGUUUUCUUUGUAUAUGAACAUUAAUGUCUGAGUCACGUAGUGGAAAUAGCUCAAGCUCGGGAAAUUCAAUAGUUGCGUACCCAAUUUGUUACUAUGGAAUUAAAGCUUGUCAAAGAACUGCGCAUACGGAAGGAAAUGAGGGACAAUGGUUUUUUGGAUGCCAAAACUAUAUGUCUGGGAAGUCUUGUAGAUACUUUUGCUGGUAUGACCUUGAAAUACCAUUAUAUUGCCAAACUAUCAAAUGAUUACAACACUUAACUGGAAAAUUAAAAGUUAAAGUUGAAAAAAUCCAAGUAUCAAUAGAUAUCCAAACCGAGAAGCGCAAGAGGCAACUCGAGAAGGCUACCUAUGUUCUAACAAUUUUAUUGUCGUGGUUUUUCUUUUUUGGGUUACUUAUAUCCAAUUGUGUUUGGUUCAAAGGAAAAUGUUAAUGUUGUAAUGGAAGACAUCAACUUUUAUAGUCUAUUUGUAUGUCUCUUUGUAUUUGUUGAGAUUUUGAAUAUUUUCAUGUAUGUGGAAGCUCUUUGUAUUUUGUGGAAACUCUUUGUAUUUAUUGAGACUUUCAAUACAAAACUUGUAUUUUAAGUGUUUGUUUUUAGUAAAAGAGAA